rnacentral:tRNA from 2 species
GCACUGUUAGCUCAGCUGGAUAGAGCACAUGACUACGAAUCAUGGGGUCGGGGGUUCGAAUCCCUCACAGUGCACCA